AAGAUCAUACUUCACAGGAUCAUUUCUGUAGUAUGCAUCGUCCCCUCCAGGUGCAAAUCUGGAGUCGUCAUUGGCCACGAUGAUGAGACUUGUCCAUGUACCAGAGCGUGAGACCGCUGGUGGCCUGCUGUUUGCAGUGAUGGCCAUCUAGCAACGAUGAUCGCAACCAGCCUGCUGGAAGGUAUGUGGACAGUCUGAGUGGU
rnacentral:snoRNA from 2 species